rnacentral:rRNA from 1 species
AAUAUUGGUCAAUGGACGAAAGUCUGAACCAGCCAAGUAGCGUGCAGGAUGACGGCCCUCUGGGUUGUAAACUGCUUUUAGUUGGGAAUAAAAAAGAGGACGUGUCCUCUAUUGUAUGUACCUUCAGAAAAAGGACCGGCUAAUUCCGUGCCAGCAGCCGCGGUAAUACGGAAGGUCCAGGCGUUAUCCGGAUUUAUUGGGUUUAAAGGGAGCGUAGGCGGAUUAUUAAGUCAGUGGUGAAAGACGGUGGCUCAACCAUCGUUAGCCAUUGAAACUGGUAGUCUUGAGUGCAGACAGGGAUGCUGGAACUCGUGGUGUAGCGGUGAAAUGCUUAGAUAUCACGAUGAACUCCGAUCGCGAAGGCAGGUGUCCGGGCUGCAACUGACGCUGGGGCUCGAAAGUGUGGGUAUCAAACAGGAUUAGAUACCCUGGUAGUCCACGCAGUA